UGGUGCUCACUGGUCUGUAGAUUUGCUGCUCCAGAAGCCAGACAGUUGCAGCAAGAUGAGAAAGACGACUCAGAAUCUAUGCAGACAUGCUUUUGAAGACCGGCAGCCCGGAAGUGGGAAGGAGUAGCAGAGUAUGACCCCAGCUGCAAGGUGCUGAGCAACGAUGGCUGCACAAGCAGAAAACAGGAUCAAAGGAUGCUGCUGAGAAAGGCCAAGGACACUGUACAAAGCAGCAGGUGCAAUCUGACCUGGGGUUGGAGUCCCAGACCCCACACACCCAGCACUGCAUUCCUUCCACUGCUCUGUAAGCCUGCCUGUGGGGGUCUUAGGAAUAAGACACAUCUCAACAUCUGCAAGACUCUGCUGAAUUUUUACUUGAACGAGCGAAGAAAAAAAUACACGUGGCAUGGACCAAUGAUUCUAAGAUACUUGGAAUUUUAUUUCAGUAUAUAAAAUUCCUAGUACAUUAAGAUU